rnacentral:rRNA from 1 species
UGGGGAAUCUUGCACAAUGGGCGAAAGCCUGAUGCAGCGACGCCGCGUGCGGGAUGAAGGCCUUCGGGUUGUAAACCGCUUUCAGCAGGGACGAGGCCGCAAGGUGACGGUACCUGCAGAAGAAGCCCCGGCUAACUACGUGCCAGCAGCCGCGGUAAUACGUAGGGGGCAAGCGUUAUCCGGAUUCAUUGGGCGUAAAGCGCGCGUAGGCGGUUUGUUAGGUCAGGAGUUAAAUCUGGGGGCUCAACCCCUAUCCGCUCCUGAUACCGGCAGGCUUGAGUCUGGUAGGGGAAGGCGGAAUUCCAAGUGUAGCGGUGAAAUGCGCAGAUAUUUGGAAGAACACCGGUGGCGAAGGCGGCCUUCUGGGCAACGACUGACUCUGAGGCGCGAAAGCUAGGGGAGCGAACAGG